GACGAACGCUGGCGGCGUGCUUAACACAUGGAAGUCGAACGGAAAGGCCCUGCUUUUGUGGGGUGCUCGAGUGGCGAACGGGUGAGUAACACGUGAGUGACCUGCCCUUGACUUUGGGAUAACUUCAGGAAACUGGGGCUAAUACCGGAUAGGAGCUCCUGCUGCAUGGUGGGGGUUUGAAAGUUUCGGCGGUUGGGGAUGGACUCGCGGCUUAUCAGCUUGUUGGUGGGGUAGUGGCUUACCAAGGCUUUGACGGGUAGCCGGCCUGAGAGGGUGACCGGCCACAUUGGGACUGAGAUACGGCCCAGACUCCUACGGGAGGCAGCAGUGGGGAAUAUUGCACAAUGGGCGGAAGCCUGAUGCAGCAACGCCGCGUGCGGGAUGACGGCCUUCGGGUUGUAAACCGCUUUCGCCUGUGACGAAGCGUGAGUGACGGUAAUGGGUAAAGAAGCACCGGCUAACUACGUG
rnacentral:rRNA from 1 species